GAGGUCGCGAGAAGGCUAGAUGGGACACGCCAGAGAGGGUGCGUGACCGAUAGAACGCCCCCGAAACCAUAGAUAAGAGGUGUGUAGACUAGAGGGACCAUAUACCAUAGCGAGGCUACGGAAAGGCUAGACGGUGCCAAUCGACGAUAGAGAGGCAGUAUCGAGGCUAGACUAAGCCGGAACCAUAGAGGAGGCACAUGCUGUAGAGAGGAAAUCCGGGACGCUGGAGAGACGGACUGCCGAGAGAACCUGAGGUUGGGGGCUAGUCGGCCCCACUCGCACGGAGACUGGCAACGUGCGGGCUGUCGGGCCCUGGAGGACCGGUGGGUGGCUGGGGCAGGAGCCCGUUCACCCAGUGAUCACUACAGCUGAAAUCAUUGAUAGACUGGUCUAGGAGUCUGAGCCUUAGACCUAUGUGGGGACAGUGUUUCAGUAAAAGACAGCAUAGAGGAUGCAGUGGCAGUGAGGUUCCUCCAUACCCAGUGAAGUUACUUGAGCUGAAAUCACUGAAAAGUGGGCUGGGUGGUGGAACCUCAGAACACAGCAUGGUGGACAAAGGCAGAGUAAUGAGAGACACCACAGCACCAGCACCAAAGGUGUCACUACUAGCUGGGCUAGGUAAUUGUGGGCUAUAGGACCAAGGACACAAGAGUACAGAAGCAGUUGGAACAGCAGAGGCAGCAGCAACUAUGGCAAGCAGCAGUAGCUGCCAGAGCAGAAAGCAGCAAGAAGUGGCAGCAGCAACAAAGAGGCAGUGGCAGAGGCACCACUCACAUUCUUCUCAGAAGCUGGAGGUGAAUCCCCUGAAUUCACCCCUGAUCUUCAGGACUUUGCUGACCUUGGACAUCAGACUGUAAACAGUGUGCAGCAGGAGGAAAGAAAAAGUGGCACGUUAAAGGGACAUUUGUCCACUGGACAUUCAAAAUUUCAAGCCUGGACACUGGAGCCAGUAACCCUCAAACCCAACCAAGACGUGCUCCCAGACCCUGGAGACAGAGAAGGGACCUCUGCUGCAUAUGUUUCUCCUUUGCAGAGGCUCAUGAAGAUUAGAAGGUGAAAAAAAUGCACUCGAGAUGAAAUGUUCUCUGAGCUCCUGCUGUCCUCCCACACUGACAGAGCACAGCAGCAUGUGUGGAGGCAGACAAUGUCAGAGUGCAGGAAAGCACAAUAUGAAUGUGAGGAGAAGUGGCAGGCUGAAGAUGAUAGGUGGUGUCAGCUUGCUGACAGAAGGCAAGAGUUGAUGCUCAGGCUGCUGGAAGAGCAAACUCAUAUGCUCCAGCGUAUGGCUGAGCUGCAGGAAAGGCAGCAGGAGCACAGACUGCCACUACAGCCCCUGUGUAACCAACAGCCCUCUUCCCCAAGUUCCAGACCUCCUCACCCAGACACCCAAGAAUGGGGGGGGGGCCCUCCGGCCACCCAGCCACUCCACCCCAGAGGAUUUCCCAAGCACCAGAAGGCUUGCCUUCAGUAAGUUUUUGUUAAGUGCAAUGUGGCCUUGUACUUCCCUCCUCCCCCACCCCUCGUGGGCUAUCUUGGCAGUUAGCCCCCUAUUCGUGUCAUGAAUUAAUAAAGAAUGCAUGAAUAUGAA